UGGGGACUUUGGGGCUACGGCUUCGUGUCCUUCAAGGACCCCAACGACUACGUCAGGGCCAUGCGCGAGAUGAACGGGAAGUACGUGGGCAGCCGGCCCAUCAAGCUGCGCAAGAGCCAAUGGAAGGAUCGGAACCUGGAGGUGGUGAGGCGCAAACAGCGCGAGAAGAAGAAACUGGGCCUGAGAUAGCCCCAACUGGGACAAACUGGGACAGACUGGGAUGGACUGGGCCUGAGAUGGCCCCCAACUGGGACAAACUGGGACAGACUGGGCCUGAGAUUGCCCCAACUGGGAUGGACUGGGACAGACUGGGCCUGAGAUGGCCCCAACUGGACAAAACUGGGACAGACUGGGACAGACUGGGCCUGAGAUAGCCCCAACUGGGACAGACUGGGACAGACUGGGACAGACUGGGCCUGAGAUUGCCCCAACUGGGACAAACUGGGACAGACUGGGCCUGAGAUAGCCCCCAACUGGGACAAACUGGGACAAACUGGGCCUGAGAUAGCCCAAACUGGGACAGACUGGGACAGACUGGGCCUGAGAUGGCCCCAACUGGGACAAACUGGGACAGACUGGGGACAAACUGGGCCUGAGAUAGCCCCAACUGGGAUGGACUGGGACAGACUGGGCCUGAGAUAGCCCAGACUGGGACAGACUGGGACAGACUGGGCCUGAGAUGGCCCAGACUGGGACAGACUGGGACAGACUGGGCCUGAGAUGGCCCCAACUGGGACGGACUGGGACAGACUGGGCCUGAGAUGGCCCCAACUGGGACGGACUGGGACAGGCUGAGCCUGAGAUGGCCCCAACUGGGAUGGACUGGGACAGACUGGGACAGACUGGGCCUGAGAUAGCCCCAACUGGGACAAACUGGGACAGACUGGGACAGACUGGGGCUGAGAUGGCCUGAACUGGGACGGACUGGGACAGACUGGGGCUGAGAUAACCCGGACUGGGACGGACUGGGACAAACUGGGAGGGACUGGGAGGGAGCGGGACGGCAAUAAAGGUGAAGUUAGGGCUGUG